AGCGAAAUCCUCAAAAAGCGGAGUCAGAGAAAUCCCCAAAAGGCGGGACCAGUGAAAUCCACAGAAAGGCAAACACAGGGAGUUCGCCAAAGGAAGAGUCAGAGAAAUUACGGCAACACCAGUCAACGAAUGCAAAGAUGUCAUAAGGAAGCCAUCAACCAUAUCACAAGUAUGGUAAUCACCAUACACAUGGAAAGGUCACCUACUAACAAGUGGUGAUUCAGGUACUUCGCAGAACUAUAAUCCCUUACUACAUGAUCUUAGCUAUUUCAUCGAGGCAUGAAAACAUGAUUGGGAACUAGGAAAUGUUAUACCUUAGCUUUUGGGCAUAAGCACGAUUUAUAUUAUCUUUGAUGGGAUGUGAGAAUUUGAUAUUAACUAGCACGAAGCUGCACACCUUCUGCAUAUGUGCCUAGAGCUAGAAUAUGAAUUGACUAAGUACGCGAAGUUGCACACCUUCUGCAGUACAUAAAGGGCCUUGAAACAUAAUUUGAAUAAAUUACUUCGGGACCAUAGUCAUGUCAGCGCUGUCACUAGCAUCACAAGUAGGAACACCAAUCACAAGCAUACACAUAACAUGUUUAUUUUAAUCAUGCACAUGUUACUAAGAGGGAGGGAGUAGGGUACAUGUUGCCAUCUGUAUUUUUCUUGAAAAUUUACAGCACAACAAUAAUGGUUGACAACGCUGGAAAAUGAGCUUUAGUGGCAAUUCAGCCACGCUACGGAGGGGAAAGCCUCAAGUGGAAUCUGGGUCUUCUCAGCGCAGUCAGGGCAGUUAUCUCAGCUACUUCAGGGCAGCCACCUCAGCGCAGCUAUCUCAGGGCAGUUAUCUCAGCUACUUCAGGGCAGCCACCUCAGCGCAGCUAUCUCAGAGCAGCUAUCUCAGUUAUCUCAGCUACCUCAGCGCAGCUACCUCAGAGCAGCUAUCUCAGUUAUCUCAGUAGUUUUCAGCGCAGAAUGUCCGAGCUGUUGUCAGUUCAGAAUGUCUAUGCUCCGCGCAGGAAUAUCGUAAGCCGCGAAAGUUAGACAGGGUUCUUUGAUUGUCUAUGCUCCGCGCAGGAAUAUCGUAAGCCGCGAAAGUUAGACAGGGGUGUACCAUCUUUGUACCAUCUUGAGGGCCGCUCUGCGGGGGUGUACCAUCUUAAGGGCCGCUCUGCGGGG
rnacentral:lncRNA from 1 species